rnacentral:tRNA from 2 species
GGCGGGGUGGCCGAGUGGCCUAUGGCGCCGUACUGAAAAUACGGUAACGACUAAAAUCGUUCGCGGGUUCGAAUCCCGUCCCCGGGG